AUGCCCCCCGGCGCCCCACAGGUACCUCCGGGGGCAGGCUGGGCUCCUCGGGCACCUCCAGCGCUGUGGGGCAGCGCUGUGGGGCAGCGCUAUGGGUCAGCGCUAUGGGGCGGCGCCAUGGGGCAGAGCCCCCCUCGGCCCCACAAGUGUGGGGCAGCGCUCACCCAGAAAGAGCGGCUCCUCCAGGACCUGGGGGUGGGGAAAAGAGGCUUGGUUAUGGGGCGGCUAUGGGGCAGCUAUGGGGCGGCUAUGGGGCGGCUAUGGGGCAGCUAUGGGGCUGCUGUGGGGCAGCUAUGGGGCUGCUGUGGGGUUGCUAUGGGGCUGCUGUGGGGCAGCUAUGGGGCAGCUAUGGGGCUGCUGUGGGGCUGCAGUGGGGUUGCUAUGGGGCAGCUAUGGGGCUGCUGUGGGGUUGCUAUGGGGCAGCUAUGGGGCAGGCACGUGGCACUACGUGGAGCCUAUGGGGCUGCUAUGGGGCAGCUAUAAGACAGCUAUAGGGCAGCUAUAGGGCGGCUAUGGGGCUUCUAUGGGGCCAAAGUGGGGCAGCUACGGGGCGGAAGUGGGGCAGCUAUAGAGCAACUAUGGGGCCAAAGUGGGGCAGCUAUGGGGUGGAAGUGGGGCAGCUAUAGAGCAACUAUGGGGCCAAAGUGGGGCAGUGAUAGGACCAAAGUGGGGCAACUAUGGGGCAGCUAUGGGGCCAAAGUGGGGCAGCUAUAGGGCAACUAUGGGGCAGCUAUGGGGCUGAAGUGUGGCAGCUAUACGGCAAGUAUGGGGCUGCUAUGGGGCAGCUAUGGGGUGGCUAUGGGGCAGCUAUGGGGUGGCUAUGGGGCAGCUGUGGGGUGGCUAUGGGGCAGCUAUGGGGCAGCUAUAGGGUGGCUAUGGGGCAGCUAUGGGGCAGCUAUAGGGCAAGUAUGGUGCAGCUAUAGGGCUGAAGUGGGACAGCUAUAGGGCAACUAUGGGGCCAAAAAGGGGCAGCUAUAGGGCAAGUAUGGAGCAGCUAUGGGGCAGCUAUGGGGCCGCUAUAACGCUGCUACAGGGCAGCUAUGGGGUGGCUGUAGGGCAGCUAUGGGGCAACUAUGGGGCGGCUGUGGGGCGGCUAUAGAGCAGUUAUGGGGCGGCUACGGGGCGGCUGUGGGGCAGCAAUGGGGCAACUAUGGGGUGGCUGUGGGGUGGCUGUGGGGUGGCUGUGGGGCGGCUAUAGGGCAGUUGGCUAUGGGGCGGCUAUGGGGCAGCUAUGGGGUGGCUACGGGCCGACUAUGGGGCAGCUGUGGGGCGGCUGUGGGGCGGCUCUGGGGUGGGGAUGGGGUGUGGGGUGGCUAUGGGUCAGCUAUGGGUCAGCUAUGGAGCGACUAUGGGUCAGCUAUGGGGUGGCUAUGGGGCGGCUAUGGGUCAGCUAUGGGGCGGCUAUGGGUCAGCCGUGGGGCGGCUAUGGGGUGGCUAUCGGUCAGCUAAGGGGUGGCUAUGGGUCAGC
rnacentral:lncRNA from 1 species